rnacentral:lncRNA from 1 species
ACGCCUACAGUGCGCUCCCCCUCACUCCUUUUCCUCGGAGUGCCCGGCCCCGGCCCCCUUCUGCCCCUUUCCCCGGCAGGGUGAUACUUUGUCAAGCCGUAAUCCAACCCUGCUAAACCCGCGGGUAGAGCUGAAGCGCUGCGAUGAAUCUCGGCAGACUCAUUCCUCUCCUCGAGAGCUUGCUGCCCUUAGAAAUGACUUCAGCGCGCUUUUGCAAGUGUAAAGGGAAAUCAAGAUCCCCUCUUCAUGUCUCUUGAUCUUCACCAGACUAGAAGAACCUGUAGUUCUUAGAGCUGCAGAAAUUUGCACUAAAGUUACCUGCACCAUUUGAAGAUGUACCCGGGUUCUCUAUGUGCAGCAAUUUGAAGCUGAC